GUAGGGAAUUUUCGUCAAUGGGGGGAACCCUGAACGAGCAAUGCCGCGUGAGUGAAGAAGGUCUUCGGAUCGUAAAGCUCUGUUGUAAGAGAAAAACGGAUCAUGUAGGGAAUGACAUGAUAGUGAUGGUAUCUUACCAGAAAGCCACGGCUAACUACGUGCCAGCAGCCGCGGUAAUACGUAGGUGGCAAGCGUUAUCCGGAAUGAUUGGGCGUAAAGGGUGCGUAGGUGGUACAUUAAGUCUGAAGUAAAAGGCAGCAGCUCAACUGCUGUUCGCUUUGGAAACUGGUGAACUAGAGUGCAGGAGAGGGCGAUGGAAUUCCAUGUGUAGCGGUAAAAUGCGUAGAUAUAUGGAGGAACACCAGUGGCGAAGGCGGUCGCCUGGCCUGUAACUGACACUGAGGCACGAAAGCGUGGGGAGCAAAUAGGA
rnacentral:rRNA from 1 species